rnacentral:lncRNA from 1 species
AAUGCUGUGUCAUCUUGGAGCCAGAGAAAAAUGGGGGAAGAAAAUAUGCAGACAUCGGUACAUCUGACGCCAGCCAGGCAGAAUCUUUUCUUCAGCAAACCUUGCUGCCCAGAGAAAAACAGCCACUCUCAACAGAAAAAGAGGUGCUAAAAAGAAAGAAUCUUCUUUCUUCACCUAAUUUUGCAGGGGAGCUCACAUGGUUUUGGAGAGAUUCUUCUGCUGAGGAAUGCCUGGUGAAGCACUCUAAACACUAACAGGCUUUUUAGGACACUCCCCUUCUCAGCCCAUGGGCUUCCCCUAAACUUCCCUUCUGCAGUGGUUUCUUGGCCCCUGUGGACUGGCAUCUUAGAUGACAUCCCUGUGAAGACAAUUUCAGGAAUACAAGCAAGGAACAAGAGUGAAUGGGAGAAGAAACACAGGAGCCAUUUUACAAUUCAUCACGUACAUGGACCAAGUGAAGAUGCCCUGCUAUAUAAAUGGAAGAUGCUGACUUCAGUGAAAACAUCUGAUAGGAAUAGAAGACUUUGCCUGAGUCCAGGUUGCACAAAACCCACCACCUUUCACCUCUUUCCUCUUCUCUAUUCUCAUUCUAUGUGGGAUAGGCUUCAUCUCUCAGCUCUAGGGGAACAAUAUUUAACCAAAAAUGACCAGUAA